rnacentral:rRNA from 1 species
AUUGAACGCUGGCGGCAGGCCUAACACAUGCAAGUCGAGCGGAUGAAGCGAGCUUGCUCCUGGAUUCAGCGGCGGACGGGUGAGUACUGCCUAGGAAUCUGCCUGGUAGUGGGGGAUAACGUCCGGAAACGGGCGCUAAUACCGCAUACGCCCUGAGGGAGCAAGUGGGGGAUCUUCGGACCUCACGCUAUCAGAUGAGCCUAGGUCGGAUUAGCUAGUUGGCGGGGUAAAGGCCUACCAAGGCGACGAUCCGUAACUGGUCUGAGAGGAUGAUCAGUCACACUGGAACUGAGACACGGUCCAGACUCCUACGGGAGGAAGCAGUGGAGAAUAUUGGACGAGGGGGGAAAGCCUGAUCCAGGCAUGCCGCGUGUGUGAAGAAGGUCUUCGGAUGGUAAAGCACUGUAAGUUGGGAGGAAGGGCAGUAAGUUAAUACCUGGCUGUUUUGACGUUACCAACAGAAUAAGCACCGGCUAACUUCGUG